AUGGAGGCGGCGCCGCCGGCAAGCUGGUUGAGGUACGUGUCAGAUCCGUUGGUCCUUCAUGACUGUAGUUGUUCGUUCUCCUCACAAACCAUGUGUUUCUCCUUUCCUCCCUCAAUGUGCCCGGGAAUACAUCGUUGCUACCUAUAUUACUGGAUUGCAAGCUUUAAGAAGGAGAUUUUAAUAGGUUGGUCAUUCAUAUCUCUGGCCAUGUGUGAUGAAUUUUUUUUGUUAAUUGCUAAUGCUUUAUUUCAGAGAACCAAAUCUGCACCAUGCCUCCUCACCCUCUCAGGUUAUUGUUUCACCCCUUUUGAUAGUUUUUUAGCACAGAGGAACGAGGAAUGGAUACAUGAGGCAUAG
rnacentral:rRNA from 1 species